rnacentral:rRNA from 1 species
AUCUGCGAUAAGCGUCGGUGAGGUGAUAUGAACCGUUAUAACCGGCGAUUUCCGAAUGGGGAAACCCAGUGUGUUUCGACACACUAUCAUUAACUGAAUCCAUAGGUUAAUGAGGCGAACCGGGGGAACUGAAACAUCUAAGUACCCCGAGGAAAAGAAAUCAACCGAGAUUCCCCCAGUAGCGGCGAGCGAACGGGGAGCAGCCCAGAGCCUGAAUCAGUGUGUGUGUUAGUGGAAGCGUCUGGAAAGGCGUGCGAUACAGGGUGACAGCC